rnacentral:rRNA from 1 species
CCUACGGGAGGCAGCAGUGGGGAAUAUUGCGCAAUGGGCGAAAGCCUGACGCAGCGACGCCGCGUGCGGGAUGAAGGUCUUCGGAUCGUAAACCUCUGUCAGCAGGGAAGCACGGUCACUGUGCUAAUCAGCAGUGAAUUGACGGUACCUGCAAAGGAAGCACCGGCUAACUCCGUGCCAGCAGCCGCGGUAAUACUGAGGGUGCGAGCGUUAAUCGGAAUUACUGGGCGUAAAGCGCUCGUAGGCGGUAUGUCAAGUCAAGGGGGAAAUCCCCGCGCUCAACGUGGGAACUGCCUUUGAAACUGGCAAACUGGAGUGUGUGAGAGGAUAGUGGAAUGCCAGGUGUAGGAGUGAAAUCCGUAGAUAUCUGGAGGAACAGCAGUGGCGAAGGCGACUAUCUGGCACAUAACUGACGCUGAGGAGCGAAAGCGUGGGUAGCAAACAGGAUUAGAUACCCUGGUAGUC